ACGCUCGACACCUACGGGGGGCAGCAGUGGGGAAUAUUGCACAAUGGGGGGAACCCGUGAUGCAGCGACGCCGCGUGGAGGAAGAAGGUCUUCGGAUUGUAAACUCCUGUUGUUGGGGAAAAAGAGGAUGGUACCCAACAAGGAAGUGACGGCUAACUACGUGCCUGCAGCCGCGGUAAUCUGAGCGGGCUGGCAAGGC
rnacentral:rRNA from 1 species